rnacentral:rRNA from 1 species
GUAGGUCCCGAGCGUUGUCCGGAUUUAUUGGGCGUAAAGCGAGCGCAGGCGGUUUAAUAAGUCUGAAGUUAAAGGCAGUGGCUUAACCAUUGUUCGCUUUGGAAACUGUUAAACUUGAGUGCAGAAGGGGAGAGUGGAAUUCGUGGUGUAGCGGUGAAAUGCUUAGAUAUCACGAAGAACCCCGAUUGCGAAGGCAGCCUGCUAAGCCGCCACUGACGUUGAGGCUCGAAAGUGCGGGUAUCAAACAGGAUUAGAUACCCUGGUAGUCCGCACGGUAAACGAUGGAUACUCGCUGUUGCCGAUAGACGGUCAGCGGCCAAGCGAAAGCGUUAAGUAUCCCACCUGGGGAGUACGCCGGCAACGGUG